rnacentral:misc_RNA from 1 species
GAUGAAGAACGUAGCGAAAUGCGAUACGUAAUGUGAAUUGCAGAAUUCAGUGAAUCAUCGAGUCUUUGAACGCACAUUGCGCCCUCUGGUAUUCCGGAGGGCAUGCCUGUCCGAGCGUCAUUGCUGCCCUCAAGCACGGCUUGUGUGUUGGGCCCCGCCCCCCGAUCCCGGGGGGCGGGCCCGAAAGGCAGCGGCGGCACCGCGUCCGGUCCUCGAGCGUAUGGGGCUUUGUCACCCGCUCUGUAGGCCCGGCCGGCGCCUGCCGAUCAACCAAACUUUUUUCCAGGUUGACCUCGGAUCAGGUAGGGAUACCCGCUGAACUUAAGCAUAUCAAUAAGCGGACGA